AUUGAACGCUGGCGGCAGGCCUAACACAUGCAAGUCGAGCGGAGCGGCGGACAGGUGAGUAAUGCCUAGGAAUCUGCCUGGUAGUGGGGGAUAAGGUCCGGAAACGGGCGCUAAUACAGCAUAAUAUCAGAUGAGCCUAGGUCGGAUUAGAUAGUUGGUGGGGUAAAGGCCUACCAAGGCGAAGAUCCGUAACUGGUCUGAGAGGAUGAUCAGUCCCACUGGAACUGAGACACGGUCCAGACUCCUACGGGAGGCAGCAGUGGGAAUAUUGGACAAUGGGGGAAACCCUGAUCCAGCCAUCCCGCGUGUGCGAUGAAGGCCUUCGGGUUGUAAAGCACUUUUGGCAGGAAAGCGGUACCUGCAGAAUAAGCACCGGCUAACUACGUGCCAGCAGCCGCGGUAAUAC
rnacentral:rRNA from 1 species